AUCCAAAAGUUAUUCCCUUGAUUUGAAAACCAAAACCUCCCUAAACCUCCUUAACUACUAACAUUCAUCCAAGUUAUAGCGUUCAGGGUAGGCUCUUAGUUAUAACUUGAUUUUUAUCACAACAUCUUCAUUUUGACUCAUGCUAUUUUAUUUGUUGAUGACACCAUGGAGUCAGGUAUGUUCGACUUGCGCGAGAAUCUGCCCAAGGUCAAGAGCGAAAAACAAUGUCGGAGUAAGGACAUUAAAAAAAUGCCUCUUCCCCCUUCGAAGGCUGUAAAUAUAUCCAUCUCAACCAAGCCCAGCGAAAUUCCUCCUCCUUUAAGUGAGGCAACAUCCAGCUUGGGUAAAGGCAAAGAUCCUGAGACCCAUCUAACUGCUACCCCGAUUCUCAAAGGUUCCAGCCAUCAAAUCUCCAAGAGGUUCUUCGCGGCACCUUAUAAGCAGGUUCAGCCUCCAUCACUCAGCUGGUGCUUUCGACCCCAGUCUUGGCUCGUAAAAAAUAUCACGGGUCAACCAAUUAUUGAGUAUCCUAACUCCUAGAGAUUGGAAGUUCUUGAGGAGUGAGAGCUCUUUUGCAAUUCAAGUCAGGACUAAUGCCUUAUUAACUGUGGUAUGUGCUCACGUUGCAGUGAGCGAGAAGGCCGUGAUAGACACCAAAUAGGCUCAAGCACAAGCUGAAAUAGCCUUGGAUUCAACUAAGAAUGAGUUGCGGGAGAGUCAAGACAAAGUCGCUAAACUUGAGUCCAGCUGGAGGGUGCUCAAGGAGAGGUGAAGAAAGCUCACUAAACUGAGUUUGAGCUUAUCAAGAAAUGUUCCCAGCUGGCAAAAGAGAAUAAAAUAGCACUAGUUUAAUCGAACAAAAAAAUAACCGCCUCGAGCAGGAAUUUAAAGCUAAGAAGGAGGAGUACUUUGAGGUGGCAUGCUAUCGUGUUUGACUUUCAACCCUGAAGGUGAUUUUUCCUUCCUCGAAUCGGCUCGCGACAUGUUCAUAGAGAAGUUCAAAGCUCGCCAUGCUGCCAAAAUGGCUACUUAGACAACUAUCCAAGAUGCAAGCACUGAUAAAGAGCUAGGAGACGAAGUUACCUUGGGGUGCCAACAAUUGGAUCUCUGCACUGAUAAAGAGCUAGGAGACGAAGUUACCUUGGCGUGCCAACAAUUGGAUCUCUGCACUGAUAAAGAGCUAGGAGACGAAGUUACCUUGGGGUGCCAACAAUUGGAUCUCUACUCUUUUCUUAUUAUUAUUAUUAUCUUGAUCAGGUCCUUGGGGCCAAGACAAUUAUAUGCUCGAAAGGACGAGCAUCCAUUUAUUUUUGUUUUUAUUCCUAUUUUUUUAGGAGGUUAUCGAUUAGAACUUGUAUUUUUUUCACUUUUAAAUAGUUUGCAAAAUUAAUUGUGAAAUCAGUUUGUUUAUCUA